rnacentral:rRNA from 1 species
CCUACGGGUGGCAGCAGUGAGGAAUAUUGGUCAAUGGGAGAGAUCCUGAACCAGCCAAGCCGCGUGAGGGAAGACGGCCCUAUGGGUUGUAAACCUCUUUUGUCGGAGAACAAAACCCGGGACGAGUCCCGGACUGCGUGUAUCCGAAGAAAAAACAUCGGAGAACUCAGUGCCAGCAGCCACGGUAAUACGGAGGAUGCGAGCGUUAUCCGGAUAUAUUGGGUGUAAAGGGGGCGUAGGCGGGCUGUUAAGGCAGCGGUAAAAUUGCGGGGCUCAACCCCGUCGAGCCGUUGAAACUGGCAGACUUGAGUUGGCGAGAAGUACGCGGAAUGCGCGGUGUAGCGGUGAAAUGCAUAG